rnacentral:rRNA from 1 species
AAUGAACGUUGGCGGCGUGGAUUAGGCAUGCAAGUCGAGCGAGAACCCGCAAGGGGGACAGCGGCAAACGGGGUAGUAACGGGUAGGUGACGUACCCUCGGGUCGGGGAUAGCCACGGGAAACUGUGGGUAAUACCCGAUAACCUCUUCGAGCGUAAUGCUGGGAGAGCAAAGGUGUGAUUCCACCGGAGGAGCGGCCUGCCUCGUAUUAGCUGGUUGGUGAGGUAACGGCUCACCAAGGCGACGAUGCGUAGGGGGUGUGAGAGCACGACCCCCACCACUGGGACUGAGAUACUGCCCAGACACCUACGGGUGGCUGCAGUCGAGAAUCUUCGGCAAUGGGCGCAAGCCUGACCGAGCGACGCCGCGUGUGGGAUGAAGGCCCUUGGGUUGUAAACCACUGUCAGAGGGGAUGAAAUGCCAGUCAGCAAUCUGACUGGUUUGACAUAGCCUCAGAGGAAGCACGGGCUAAGUUCGUGCCAGCCGCCGCGGUAAUAC